AAUCCAGAGGUGGAUGGGGUGGGGGUGGGGCUGGGGCUGCUGGAGAGGUGAAAUAAACCAUUACUUCAUUACUUUAUUGGUGGGGUGUGAAUGGAUGCGAAAACACUUCUUGUGAACAGACCCUGUGUCUCAAGUUUCACACACGCUAGAGAAAUCACCUUAUGGUCCUAGAUGAUUAUUUACAUCCACUUGCCUUUGGCAGCCGAGGUUAAGUGCCUUAUCCAAAGACAACAAUUAGCGGCAAAGGAAAACUAUGGAUAUUCUGGCUUCUAAUCCAAAAAUAUGAGAUCCAGAACUGAAGAUGCUAUAGCUCCUAGAAUAUUGCAGUGUUCCAAGCCUUUGAAUCAGACACCUCACUCAAAUCCCAGCUCUGCCAUCUGCCAGCUUUGUAACUUUGAGCAAGCUGCUUAAACUCUCUGGGCUUCAAUUUCUUCAUCUAUUAAGUGGAAUUAAGAACUAACAGGGAUAAUACAUAUAAACUGUUCAGCAGAGGACCCUCUAUAGAGUACUGGGUAAAUGCUUAUUAUUAUAAAGAUCAACUGUUAUUAUUGCUCCUUCCUCUCCACCAUGUAGAUUCAGACCCUUUCUCAUGGGAACCAGGAGGGCAUCCCAGAUACCUUUGGCCAGAUAGCCUCCUCAAGGUAAUAAGGACACGGGUCGAAGUCUGAAUGCGUGUUCCCCUUCCUAAUUCUACUUACAAUGCUUUACAGUUGCAAGGAAACUAAAGCACAGACCACUGCAGUGACCUGGCCAAAAUCUCACAGUGGGAAGGCGGGUAGCACUCAAAGGCAAAUCUUUGGAUUCCACGUCCAGUGUUCUGUCCGUAACCUGUAUCUGCAGCGAAGGGCUCUGCUGGGUAAGGAGUCAGCUUCCCUCCACAGCCAGGGACAGCGAGGCCACCCUCCCCUCAGGCACCACAGGGUCUGCAGUCUCCUGUUUUAGGCUGUGUGGUACGUUCCACGUGUGAGUUCAGACACGGUGCCCUGAUCCUGCCAAUUCCUGAACUGCCUUACCUGGGCCAUCAGGGCAGCCAUCUCGAGAGCCAGCUCCUUGUUGACAGGAAACCUCCCUGCCACUAUCUCCCCACUAGUCUGGGAGGCAAGCAGCAGCCGCUCCCGCUCCGUCUCCCCUUUGACUUGACUCCGAAAGUACAGCCUACAGGGAAGACAGAAGAAGCCAAGACUCAGUUGGGAUCCUGAAUGGAUGAGGUUGUCUUGGCCUCUGUUUAUCUUGAUUUCCAAAGAAAGAAACUACUCUCUUUAUACCAUC